UACGAAGGGGGCUAGCGUUGCUCGGAAUCACUGGGCGUAAAGCGCACGUAGGCGGCUUCUUAAGUCAGGGGUGAAAUCCUGGAGCUCAACUCCAGAACUGCCUUUGAUACUGAGGAGCUUGAGUCCGGGAGAGGUGAGUGGAACUGCGAGUGUAGAGGUGAAAUUCGUAGAUAUUCGCAAGAACACCAGUGGCGAAGGUGGCUCACUGGCCCGGUACUGACGCUGAGGUGCGAAAGCGUGGGGAGCAAACAGG
rnacentral:rRNA from 1 species